rnacentral:tRNA from 1 species
GGGUAUAGGUCAGUGGUACUGUGUGUGCUUAGCAUGCACGAAGUCCUGGGUUCAAACCCCAGUAUCUCCA